CUCCUGUUACGUAUACUGAAGGUAUACCGGACAGAAAUACACUCAGGAUACAUUCAGUAUACGUACAGGGG
rfam:Apis mellifera strain DH4 linkage group 16, whole genome shotgun sequence.